UACGUAGGGUGCGGGCGUUAAUCGGAAUUACUGGGCGUAAAGCGUGCGCAGGCGGUUCGUUGUGUCCGAUGUGAAAGCCCCGAGCUCAACUUGGGAACUGCAUUGGAAACUGGCGGGCUGGAGUGUGGCAGAGGGGGGUGGAAUUCCACGUGUAGCAGUGAAAUGCGUAGAGAUGUGGAGGAACACCGAUGGCGAAGGCAGCCCCCUGGGCCAACACUGACGCUCAGGCACGAAAGCGUGGGGAGCAAACAGG
rnacentral:rRNA from 1 species